GUUCUCUUUCUAGAGAUUGCUCCUCUUGAAGCUUUUUCUGCAAGCCUAGGGCACAGAACAUUGUAUUCUGGACCAGUGUUCUAAACUUGUUGGGAUCACAGAAUCAUGGAAGUGUAGGAAUUAGAAGAGACUUCUGGAGGUCAUCUAUUCCAACCCCCUGCUAAACCAGGUUUCCUAGGUAUUAGAUGGAUUAUACACUACCCAAUUUGUGUCAACCAAGGAAUGUAAAGAAGCACAUAUCUGAAGAAAACAGAAGGAGCUCCAAGAGCAUUCAGAAAUCUAAAAGUGAGGCGGAAUCAUGGUAUUUUCCCUAACAGGCUUACGUCAGUACAGCAAGAGGAAGUCUUUCAACAGUUUGAAAUAUAGACCAAUGCCUUUUGAGUUUAUCUGUGCUCUAUAAAAUAAGUAUUUCCAUACCUCUGAAUUUUCAAUGUAAAUAUUUCUGUCAAGCACUGAGGAAUAACCUUUUCAAUGGGUCUAUACCUACAUGGCCAUGUCUACAUGACUUUUUUGUCUGAUGGAAAAGCUGUAAAAUCAGUAGCGUGGUAUUAUGGCCAGGUCAAUUUGUGCUGCUGGGGUAUUGCGCCUUUGUGAAGGGUUGUGUGAUUAUUAUCUUUGUCUUUCCAUAUUGAACCAAGAAAUAGAAUUGGUAUUCAUUGCUAUCCUGUCACAGACUCCAUAGCCUGUCUGAAGAAUCAUAGUAUUAUACAAAAUUAUAGCUUUUCAGUAUUUUCUAAGCAAUAUAAUAGAUCAAGAUGGAAACUCAUGCUGAAGUUGAAUCACUGUUGUCAGUAGCUGUUAGCAAAUUAAGUCUCUGAGUUGAUCAAACCUAAAGUCAAUUUCAGAGUAAGGACAAUGAG
rnacentral:lncRNA from 7 species